UGCCAGCAGCCGCGGUAAUACGAACUGUGCGAACGUUAUUCGGAAUCACUGGGCUUAAAGGGUGCGUAGGCGGUUACUUAAGUAGGGUGUGAAAUGCCCCGGCUCAACCGGGGAACUGCGCUCUAAACUGGGUGGCUUGAGUAAGAUAGAGGUGUGCGGAACUUCCGGUGGAGCGGUGAAAUGUGUUGAUAUCGGAGGGAACACCAUUGGCGAAAGCGGCACACUGGGUCUUAACUGACGCUGAGGCACGAAAGCCAGGGGAGCGAACGGGAUUAGAUA
rnacentral:rRNA from 1 species